UAACAACUUGGACCGCAUGGUCCGAGCUUGAAAGAUGGCUUCGGCUAUCACUUUUGGAUGGUCCCGCGGCGUAUUAGCUAGAUGGUGGGGUAACGGCUCACCAUGGCAAUGAUACGUAGCCGACCUGAGAGGGUAAUCGGCCACAUUGGGACUGAGACACGGCCCAAACUCCUACGGGAGGCAGCAGUAGGGAAUCUUCCACAAUGGACGAAAGUCUGAUGGAGCAACGCCGCGUGAGUGAAGAAGGGUUUCGGGCUCGUAAAACUCUGUUGUUAAAGAAGAACAUAUCUGAGAGUAACUGUUCAGGUAUUGACGGUAUUUAACCAGAAAGCCACGGCUAAACUACGUGCCAGCAGCCGCGGUAAUACGUAGGUGGCAAGCGUUGUCCGGAUUUAUUGGGCGUAAAGCGAGCGCAGGCGGUUUUUUAAGUCUGAUUGUGAAAGCCUUCGGCUCCAACCGAAGAAAGUGCAUCGGAAACCUGGGAAAACUUGAGUGCAGAAGAGGACAGUGGAACUCCAUGUGUAGCGGGGAAAUGCGUAGAUAUAUGGAAGAACACCAGUGCCGAAGGCGGCUGUCUGGUCUGUAACUGACACUGAGGCUCGAAAGUAUGGGUAGCAAACAGGGACUAGAUACCCUGGUAGUCCAUACCGUAAACGAUGAAUGCUAAGUGUUGGAGGGUUUCCGCCCUUCAGUGCUGCAGCUAACGCAUUAAGCAUUCCGCCUGGGGAGUACGGCCGCAAGGCUGAAACUCAAAGGAAUUGACGGGGGCCCGCACAAGCGGUGGAGCAUGUGGUUUAAUUCGAAGCUACGCGAAGAACCUUACCAGGUCUUGACAUACUAUGCAAAUCUAAGAG
rnacentral:rRNA from 1 species